rnacentral:lncRNA from 1 species
UGGAACUUGUUUACACUUUCAAAAAGAAUUAAUCAUAAGUGUACGACAUGGUUGUUUACACUUUUCUGCAAUUCCGCCUUCAUUUGGUUUGUCAUGUGGAUGAUGUUCAUGUAUUAUAAUCCUAGUGGGGAGUGUGCCUGAUACUCUACGAAUUCCUGCAGAAUAAGGCAUAAAAAGCGUAAAGUUUACUGAAAAAUCAUGUAUGGUUUCAUAACCACAAGUAUCAUUACACAUGAUUAUCCUCGCAUGUCAUGCAAAACUAAAAGGAAAAUAGAAGCAAUUCAUGAGUCAAAAACUAAAUCUUGAUUGGAACAUUUCUAGAUGAAGCAUAAGCUUACUGGUUCCUUCUUGGUUUGCCCCGUAUUCACAGAGACCUCCUGCAAGAUAUAGAAGCAAUCGUCAUAGAAAUUGUGUUUGCUCGGGUGGUGAAAUGUGGAACAACAUUAUUCAUUCAGUAUAUAAUGAUGG